UAGGGAAUCUUCGGCAAUGGACGAAAGUCUGACCGAGCAACGCCGCGUGAGUGAAGAAGGUUUUCGGAUCGUAAAACUCUGUUGUUAGAGAAGAACAAGGACGUUAGUAACUGAACGUCCCCUGACGGUAUCUAACCAGAAAGCCACGGCUAACUACGUGCCAGCAGCCGCGGUAAUACGUAGGUGGCAAGCGUUGUCCGGAUUUAUUUGGCGUAAAGCGAGCGCAGGCGGUUUCUUAAGUCUGAUGUGAAAGCCCCCGGCUCAACCGGGGAGGGUCAUUGGAAACUGGGAGCCUUGAGUGCAGAAGAGGAGAGUGGAAUUCCAUGUGUAGCAGUGAAAUGCGUAGAUAUAUGGAGGAACACCAGUGGCGAAGGCGGCUCUCUGGUCUGUAACUGACGCUGAGGCUCGAAAGCGUGGGGAGCAAACAGG
rnacentral:rRNA from 1 species